UCACGUUUCCAAAUUUAUCAAAGGGCUGCGCAUUUGCGUUCGUCCAUUUCUUUUCUGUGGAAAAUUAGGAAAGAAAGAAUGGGAAAGAGGGUAGGGAGAGGUGGAAGAAGGGACGAUUUGCCGUCGCCGUCGAUCUUGAGUCGAUCUGUAGACUCCGUAUUCGAUUUCGUCCGUUUUGCUGAGUUCGAGAUCCUCUUCGUCCUCUUCUUCGUUGUAGCUUUUGUCAUUUUCAAGGAUCUGACUUCAAGGCCGGAGUAUAAUCAGAUCAUGGUGACGAAGCCAGAUUGGUGGCCUUACUAGAUAGACAGUAGACUGCACCUGCAGGGUGUUUUCCUUGUCUACUUCAAGUGUAUGGAUUGCUCUGUACAUUCUUUUCUAAAGUGCACUCAGAUGUCUGGAUCCGAUUUUGAGAUUUACUACUCCUUUCUUUACCUUUAUUGCAUAUGUUGUCUCAACUAGUUAGUUAUAUGGGAGAAGGAGAUUUCUUUUACCAUUGAGCUUUUUGUUCUUUGAAAUAUGAAGAAUUAGUGGAGUGUAGUUUUCUUGUUUUGUCCCUUCAUUUUGCUUUGGGGGUGGAAUGAGGAAUUGUUGAUUGAUAUUGUUAACAGGAAGUCAAACUUUGAAAUCAGGAUUUUAUGGGAAAGAAUUCCACCAAUUUAAGUA